rnacentral:rRNA from 1 species
GACGAACGCUGGCGGCGUGCUUAACACAUGCAAGUCGAACGGAAAGGCCCUGCGCUUGCGGGUUGCUCGAUUGGCGAACGGGUGAGUAACACGCGUGUAACCUGCCCCUGACUUUCGGAGAACUUCUGGAAACACGGGCUAAUAUCGGAGAGGAGCUCCUGCUGCACGGGGGGGGUUGGAAAAUUUCGGUGGUUGGGGAUGGACUCGCGGCUUAUGAGCUGGUUUGGGGGGUAGGGGCUGACCAAGGCUUUGACGGGUAGCCGGCCUGAGAGGGUGGCCGGCCACAUGGGGCCUGAGGUACGGACCAGACUCCUACGGGAGGCAGCAGUCGGGAAUAUUGCACAAUGGGCGGAAGCCUGAUGCAGCAACGCCGCGUGCGGGAUAACGGCCUUCGGGUUGUAAACCGAUUUCGCCUGUGACGAAGCGUGAGUGACGGUAAUGGGUAAAGAAGCCCCGGCUAACUACGUG